ensembl:lncRNA
AAUGAAUCCUCCCAUAUGAAAAAGGCGGUCUAAUAAAAGGUAUUAGGCUUUCCACUUCCUUCUAAAGACAGAACUGUCACAAACACUGAGGAAAUGACUCAGAGUUAUGCCUUGUAGGGUAGAUAGAACACAGCCAAUACAUGGAGGUACUUGUCUUUUCCUUCACAGUUUUUCUGUUAAAGUCUGUCUCCCCUACACCCCCUUCACCUCUACUAUUAAAGUACUAAAUCCAGAAUAUGUCAAAGCAAAUCAAGGAGCUGGCCUUGGCCAAUAGCAAGCUUAUGUUUAAUUCCCCAUACUGACUGCAACUACCUGGGAUGGGUCUCUAGGUAACUUCCUUCUGUGACAUCAGGCAUCAUCUUGUGAUGUGAGCCAAGUUCAGUAUUGCCUCUCCCCUACCUUCCUUGACAUCUCUGAUCAAAUUUUUCUUCCCUUCUCUCCCUCCCUUCUUUCCCUCCUUGCUCCUCCAUCCCUUCCUUCCUUUUGUUCUUUCUUUCCUCACCUGUGAAACCCCUUUUCAUUAUAUUUAAGGCAACGUGGUUUAUUCUAGGCAAAAUCUCCAUCAAUGUAUCAGUGUGUCUUGAAGGAAUUAAUGAUGGGAAAAAGCAGAGAAGGAACAGCAGCUGCAGCAAAAUUCCCCACUACAUCUUCCAGUGAUUGAUGGCAUGUUCUUCAAACUUGAUUAUAUGUAAAAGACUCAGGGCCUUGAAACCUACCAUCACCGCACCCCUUAUCUUCACCCCACCCCUCAUCAUGAAGCACCUUCCAGUGCUCUCUUGAUGUUUGGACCUUCACCAUCUUUAAAGCAAAACAGACCUUCAUUUGUACUUGUCAACCUCAGAGCGGUCCUUGUGGCAGAGAGAGUGGGAUGGCUGCUUCCUCCCUGACCUCAAGAACAAAGGAUCUGCUACCAAGAAGUUUACAACAGCUAAUUAUGCCCCUCUCUCACUUUUUCUAUGAAAGAGAUUUGCUGACAGCUUUUAGGAGUUUGGAGUUUUUAAGGCAUGAGCCUUCCAUCUCCUUUCAUGCCCCCACAGUAAACCCUUGUUCCCAACGCUGACGACGUUUUGGUGUUGUUUUGCCUCACUAUGUGUUAGGCACAUGGACUCUUGUUUGGCAACAAAAACACUUGAAGGUAGGAAUAGGGUUGGGCAUACAGCCUACAUCACAUAGACAUUUGGCUGAAGUUUGUAAAAUGUGGCCACUAGUCCCUAGUUUUCCACAUUAACAGGGGAUUGCACAAACCAUGGACUGUCUCAAUGUUCCUUAACAUUGUUCUUUGUUGGCUUUAGAACAUAUAGUCAGUCAUGGGUAGCAAAGAAUUUGACCUUCUUCAACCUCAAGACCCUUGUUAGGUCAUCCUUGACUUAAAGGUUCUAGUUGGCAGAUGAAUGGACAGCAAGAGGAACGAGGUCUCAGAUACCAGUGGCUACCCAGAAGAGCCUGUUUCCAGAAAGAGACAGACGCUUUACCGUCUGAGCCACCAAGGAAGCCCAACACAGAGGAAGAAAGCAUUUUGAUGGCACUGGCCCAACCUCUGCGUGGAGUUCAUCCCAGACGGUAUGAUUCUGAGGUCUGCACCCCACCUCGCUCCAUCCCCAGGCCCAUCCUCC